GCCUUCGUAGUGUAGUGGUCAGAACGCUCGGCACGUAUUCGAGAGACCUGUGGUUCGAGUCCCGGCGAGGGCG
rnacentral:tRNA from 1 species